AUCAGGUUGGCAGAAUUAAUGCAAUAGAUUUAGAAUCUAUUUAUGUAAGUAGAUUACACGUGAUA
rnacentral:tRNA from 1 species